rnacentral:lncRNA from 1 species
CAUUUCCUAAUAAUCUUCUCAACUAUUUUACUUUCAGUAUCCUUUUUAUUUUAACUUUCAGCUUUCCUUGCUGCUUCAAUCAUCUCCAGUAAUAUUUAAGAUCUCUGAUAGCUAAUGGUAAAUCUGAGAACAUUUUCUGGAUUUGAGCCAAUCAUAAUAUCUUUAAAUAAUAUUUAUAUAUUGCAAGCUUGCCAGCUACUUGCCAGGGCAUAACAAAAGAUAAAUAUACACUCCUCUACUACCACCACUAAAAGAAGCCAAGUCAUCUGACUGCUAGUGACCUAAUUUUUGCAUAGCUGUUUGUAAUUCUCAUCAUCAUGUUAUGGCGAUAUAAUUUAUUAAUCCUUCUGGCAUUUUUCUCCUUGACAGCUUCUCAGUUGCUGUUACAUUCUACUUGGAUGGCACUUCUUCCUGCUGCCUUGUAAAGAAGGUGCCUU